AGAUGUGAGGUCAAUCUGGCUGCAACAUCUGUCACCCCAUUGAUCACCAGGGUUGAUUUGGCUGAUCUGGCUAGGUAGGUAGGUGUCCCCUUCCUCCCUCACUACUCCAUGUGCAUCCCUCCCACAGCUGCAUGCUCAGUGGAAGAGGAUGACCACUCCAAUUAAGGAGGACCAAAACAUGUGCACUCUGUAGGGAUGACCAGUAUAGAUUGAGGUGCUCAUGUGUUUUAAAGGGUACUUAUACUUUUUCAUAUAAACAGAGCUACACUUGAGUUUUU
rnacentral:snRNA from 1 species